rnacentral:sRNA from 1 species
GCCGGGAGUGGUGCUGCACGCCUGUCAUCCCAGCUGCUCAGGAGGCUGAGGCAGGAGGAUCAUGAGUUCAAAGCCGGCCUCAG